rnacentral:rRNA from 1 species
GACGAACGCUGGCGGCGUGCUUAACACAUGCGAGUCGAACGGAAAGGCCCUGCUUUUGUGGGGCGCUCGAUUGCCGAACGGGGGAGUAACACGUGAGUAACCUGCCCUUGACUUUGGGAUAACUUCAGGAAACUGGGGCUAAUACCGCAUAGGAUCUCCUGCUGCAUGGUGGGGGAUGGAAAGUUUCGGCCUUGGGGGAUGGACUCGCGGGUUAUCAGCUUGUUUGGGGAGUAGUGGCUUACCAAGGCUUCGACGGGUAGCCGGCCUGGGAGCGUAACCGGCCACAUUGGGACUGCGAUACGGCCCAGACUGCUACGGGAGGCAGCAGUGGGGAAUAUUGCACAAUGGGCGGGAGCCAGAUGCAGCAAUGCCGCGUGCGGGAUGACGGCCUUCGGGGUGAAAACCGCUUUCGCAUUUAACGAAGCGUGAGUGACGGUAACGGGUAAAGAAGCACCGGCUAACUACGUG